ensembl:lncRNA
CAGGGUUUCACCAAGUCACUAAGAUGUCCAGGUUGGGCUCAAACUUGAGAUCCUCCUGCCUCAGCCUCUCAAAAUGCUGAGAUUAUAAGCAUGUGCCAACACACCUCCAGGAGCUACUUUUGUUCCUUCAAUUUUCUUAGUAGUGGAAGAGAGUAUGAAGUUAGCAUGGAAAACUCCAGAUGUCACUGGGAGCAUGACGUUCUUGGAAGACAAAAAUCAACAAUUAUUAAUUUAAGUCCCAAGGCCCACAAAAGUCAAGGGUCUCACUAUGUAUUCCAAGCUGGCGUUGAAGUCACUGGGUACCCCAGGCAGGCCUUGAACUUGCUACCGCCUCCCAAGUGCUGGGAUUAUAG